rfam:Schistosoma mansoni, Puerto Rico, WGS project CABG01000000 data, contig: 0134
AGAUUUCCGAAUCCAUAUUGAGAUUCCAUCAGAAACUAACACACCAGGGCUGAUGGAACUUACAAGAUGAGUGAAGUG